CAGUAAAUAGUUUAUUUAAAAUAUUAAUUUUGGAGAUUAAAGAAAAGUUUUUCUUUUUACUGA
rnacentral:tRNA from 1 species